rfam:Erysipelotrichaceae bacterium MTC7 Contig_17, whole genome shotgun sequence.
AUAAUGAUACUCCACCUUUGGACGUCCGAGCGUGAUAAGACCGUCGCAGGCUAAAUAGGUGCUUCCUUGAUUGGGAGCGGUGAAACUCCAGUGA